AACGAACGCUGGCGGCGUGGAUAAGACAUGCAAGUCGAGCGCUCAUCCGUUUGCAGCAAUGUAGGCGGGUGGGAGCGGCGCAAGGGUGCGUAACGCGUGGGUAAUUUGCCAUGAAGUUGGGAAUAACUCCGAGAAAUCGGAGCUAAUGCCGAAUGUGGUUGCCUGGUGGAAUCACCGGGUUACUAAAGUUGGGGACCGAAAGGCCUGACGCUUCAUGAUAAGCCCGCGCCCUAUCAGCUAGUUGGUGAGGUAACGGCCCACCAAGGCUAAGACGGGUAGCUGGUCUGAGAGGACGACCAGCCACACUGGAACUGAGACACGGUCCAGACACCUACGGGAGGCUG
rnacentral:rRNA from 1 species